UAUUCCACGUUUUAUAAUGAGUGGAUAACAUUGUUGAUAUUUCAUUGACUUAGUAUAGUAUUUUUAAAUAAAUAUAUACACGUUACUACAAGAAAAUAUGGUAAUUGCGACACCCUUCUACGACGCGUGAUGCGGCUCUCGCAAUAACUAUUAAAUUUCAUUAUUUUCUGUGCGCUAAACUUUGGCGCUCUGUUGUUUGCGACAUGAAUGAAAGUUCCGUCGCACACACCUCUGUUGUGAAUAAGUAGAAGAAAAAAAAAAAAAAACACAACUGCACGCUCUCAUCUCCCUCUCGCUCUCAGCCUAUCUCCCUCUCUUCAAAGCAUAGAUCCUUCUUUGAGACUCUUGCCACAACCACUGAUGCUGAGACACAAUUGAACCAAGUAAGGAUUUAUGUUUCUUGUUCCUCUCUCAAAUCUCCCAUUUCCCUAACCCUAAUAUUUUUUGUCAUCUCUCAGUUUUUUCUUUUUGUUGCUAGAAAUUCAAAUUCAAUCUCAUCGCUUCUUAUUUGGUAAGAUUAUUUGAGGAAUCAUCUUCUAAUUUGUUUUUUCUUGGUGUUGUUUCAUCAUUUUUUCAAAAAUUCCAGUCUUAUCUAUUCUCCAUUAGUUCUCCCGUUGUUUAGGGUUUUUUUUUUUUUUUUCUUUUUUUCUAUGUUCAAUUUCAUCACUAAUUGCUAAUAUUGUUGGAGGAUUUUUUUGUAAUUGGAGCUAGUCAAAGAAGUAUGCUGGCUUGGUUUUGUUUAUUUAUUCUUUAAUGGCACUGGUGACUCAUUUAGCAAGAGAAGCAGAAAUUUGGGGGUGGAUUAAUUGGAGAAGGAUGAGUAAGAAAGCAUGGAUGAAUGCAGAGACAAUGGUGGUGCUUUUGUGAAGAAGCACAGAAUGGUCCGAAAAAAGGUGAGAUUUGUAGAGGAAAAUGAAAGAACUGUUUGGAAAGUAAUGGUGAAUGAUGAGUUGAAAUCAGAGCAAAAGGGAGGAGAAAAUGGAAAGCGGGCCUCUAAGAAAGGUGAGAAUGGGGUGUAGUUUAAAGGUAGAAGAUAAAGUGGGGCAUUCUGAUGACAUUGAUAUAGAGUAAGGUUUGCGAAGAAGCAAGAGAGUAGGUUAUUUUCUUAGGGCCAUAAAGGAUCAUACAAAGUAGGAUGAAAGAAAAGUAAAUAAGCAGUCCAAGAAAAAAUUGGCUUGGUUGGGUAAAGGCUACUGCUAAGGUCGAGUGAAAUCAGAUGUUGCUGGGAUGAGUUGCAUCAAAAUUCCACUAUAACAGUAAAUUCUUGUCAACUACAGAGACUGGAAGAUGAAGAGGAGAGGCAUAAAGUUUAGAAGGAAAGCACUCAAGGGGAUCUCUUGCUUGGUCCGACAGAGAAGCAUUGGUCUGAUGUAGUAUUAUAGACUAUAUAAAUGUCUAAACAUGUAUAUGUGUUUAAUUACUGAAAUGAAAUACAUUACAAUCUUAAAGAUUCCAAAUAAGUGUUUUUCAUUUUGUAAAUUAUGAAUUGUAACAUUGGUUUGAAUUUCAUUUUAGUUUGGAACCUGUAGUACAAUUUCACA